AUUGAACGCUGGCGGCAGGCCUAACACAUGCAAGUCGCACGAGUGGCGGACGGGUGAGUAAUGUCUGGGAAACUGCCCGAUGGAGGGGGAUAACUACUGGAAACGGUAGCUAAUACAGCAUACCAUCGGAUGUGCACAGAUGGGAUUAGCUAGUAGGUGGGGUAAUGGCUCACCUAGGCGACGAUCCCUAGCUGGUCUGAGAGGAUGACCAGCCACACUGGAACUGAGACACGGGCCAGACUCCUCCGGGAGGCAGCAGGGGGGAAUAUUGCACAAUGGGCGCAACCCUGAUGCAGCCAUGCCGCGUGUAUGAAGAAGGCCUUCGGGUUGUAAAGUACUUUUAGCGAGGAGGCGUUACUCGCAGAAGAAGCACCGGCUAACUCCGUGCCAGCCGCCGCGGUAAUUC
rnacentral:rRNA from 1 species